UACAGAGGGUGCGAGCGUUGUUCGGAAUUACUGGGCGUAAAGCGCACGUAGGCGGAUCGAUCAGUCAGGGGUGAAAUCCCAGGGCUCAACCCUGGAACUGCCUUUGAUACUGUCGAUCUGGAGUAUGGAAGAGGUGAGUGGAAUUCCGAGUGUAGAGGUGAAAUUCGUAGAUAUUCGGAGGAACACCAGUGGCGAAGGCGGCUCACUGGUCCAUUACUGACGCUGAGGUGCGAAAGCGUGGGGAGCAAACAGG
rnacentral:rRNA from 1 species